CCUACGGGUGGCAGCAGUGAGGAAUAUUGGUCAAUGGACGGAAGUCUGAACCAGCCAUGCCGCGUGCAGGAAGACGGCCCUAUGAGUUGUAAACUGCUUUUGUAUAAGGGUAAACCUGAAUACGUGUAUUCAGUUGCAAGUACCUUACGAAUAAGGAUCGGCUAACUCCGUGCCAGCAGCCGCGGUAAUACGGAGGAUCCAAGCGUUAUCCGGAUUUAUUGGGUUUAAAGGGUGCGUAGGCGGAUUGAUAAGUUAGUGGUGAAAUUUCCGAGCUUAACUCGGGAACUGCCUUUAAUACUGGUGUUCUAGAGAGUAGAUGCGGUAGGCGGAAUGUAUGGUGUAGCGGUGAAAUGCUUAGAGAUCAUACAGAACACCGAUUGCGAAGGCAGCUUACCAAUCUAUAUCUGACGUUGAGGCACGAAAGCGUGGGGAGCAAACAGGAUUAGAUACCCCAGUAGUC
rnacentral:rRNA from 1 species